GAUCCUGGCUCAGGAUGAACGCUAGCUACAGGCUUAACACAUGCAAGUCGAGGGGCAGCAUGACUUAGCUUGCUAAGUUGAUGGCGACCGGCGCACGGGUGAGUAACACGUAUCCAACCUGCCGAUGACUCGGGGAUAGCCUUUCGAAGAAAGAUAAUACCGAUGGCAUAAUUCUUCCGCAUGGUACGAAUUAUUAAAGAAUUUCGGUCAUCGAAUGGGAUGCGUUCCAGUUAGG
rnacentral:rRNA from 1 species